GUGUAUGUCUAAUGUUGUCUUUUUCUUUUUUUCUAGCAGGGCGCGACGCAGAUUGAGGAUUCCCAGGUAUGUUUUCUGUUAAGACCUUUGUGUAUGUCUAAUGUUGUCUUUUCUUUUUUUCUAGCAGGGCGCGACGCAGAUUGAGGAAUUCCAGGUAUGUUUUCUGUUAAGACCUUUGUGUAUGUCUAAUGUUGCGCCUUUUCUUUUUUUUCUAGCAGGGCGCGACGCAGAUUGAGGAUUCCCAGGUAUGUUUUCUGUUAAGACCUUUGUGUAUGUCUAAUGGUUCUUUUUUUUUUCCUUUAGGUCGUGUGGCCUUUUUUUUUUUUGCAGGGCGCGACGCAGAUUGAGGAUUCCCAGGUAUGUUUUCUGUUAAGACCUUUGUGUAUGUCUAAUGUUCGCCUUUUUCUUUUUUUCUAGCAGGGCGCGACGCAGAUUGAGGAUUCCCAGGUAUGUUUUCUGUUAAGACCUUUGUGUAUGUCUAAU
rnacentral:lncRNA from 1 species